AAUUUAUGUUCUUUUGGAUUAAGGCUUAGUUCGUGGCGUAAUAUGUAAUCAAGUUUAAUAAGUGUUCUGUGAUCACAAAGUCAUCUUUAAAGUCUGUUGCAGUGAUCAUCAGUUAGGAUGCUUUCAGCUAUAGGUAAUGGGAAACCAGCUGAAAAUGGCUGAAACAGGAAGGAAAUUUAUAAUCUACGUGAUAAGAAGCCGUGAAGUAGGGUAAUUCUAGGGAUUGUUAACUGGAGGCUUCAAUUGUAUCAUCAAAACCCUAAGUUCCUUCCAGUUUUCAGUUCUUCCCUUUUCAGUUUAGGCUUAGCCUCUUAGGCAGGUUCUCCUCCUGGUUUCAGGAUGGCUCUCAUGGAUAAUGACCAGAUAAAGAUUAAUGCCUUCAUUUUAGUGCCAGUGGGAGUAUGUGUGUGUGUGUCUUAUAAGACCUUCUCAGAAGCUUCCUGUAGAUCCAGCAAGCCUUUUGAAUGACCAGAAUUGUUGUUACAGGUUCAUUUGUAAAUUGAGUACAGGCUUAUUCAUCAAGAUUAAAACCACCAUGGGUAGUAAGUGAAGUAAGACUUUGGUACUUGAGUACUGAGUCAGGAUUGGAAGUGCAGAAGGGACAGUUGCCUCUCCCAAAGAACAUAAGCCUGAUUUUGUUCACUCCGGCUCAGGGUCUUAAGAGUACGUUUAAAGACUGCCAGAGGUGAGGGAGUGCAGGGAUGGUGGUUGGGUGGGAAACCAGUAUUACUGCCUACUCAGUGGAAUACUUUUAUCAGCUAUGAGAAUACGCACAUAAUCCAUCACUUCAUUUAGAGUAUUUUUUCAGGUGUGAUUUAACAUCUUUUUGGCUAUAAAAAAAUGAGUUUAUCACGGAAAUUUUGGUGUGAUUUUUGUCUUUAGUAAAUAAUUGCUGCCCCCUUGAAAAAUGAUUACUGUAAAACCCUUUUCCUACUACUGUAUGUCAGUAUAUAUUUUGCUCUUUUGUUUAGAAUCCAGAAUCUUAGGAUUUUGAGCAGACAUUGUGUCCUCUUUAUUGUUCAUUCAGCAGUGAGCAGUGGAUUUCCAGAAACUAAUUAUUAGUAAUAAUGAAAGGUGCAUAUCUGGAAAUAGAUUGAAAUGUAACUCCAGAUGUGAUUAGCUACCUAGUUUGUUUUUAUUAAAAUAUUAUUUUUCCUGCAUUUUUAUAAUCCAGGAAAAGCUUCUAAUAUGAAAAAUAAUUUAUUUUAAGCCAACACAUAAAAACAAUUGCUUUAACAGUAUUGUGUGAAUACAGAUGAGAUGGUCCUAUUAAAAUCUGGUCACAAAGUGUGUAUGGUAAUGCAGCAAGAUUCCUGCCACCUAAUUACUAGUUCAGGUUUGUUGUAAAUGCUGAAUUAAUGUGAAGUUGUAGUGUCACUAAGUGAGUCCUGUCACACAGAAAUGAUGUUGCCAAUUACACAUAAAGUAGUCAAGGCUAAAUACAUUUGAAUAACUAAUUGUCAGGAUGAGCUUUUUCACACCCACCCCCUUGUGCUUACUGGUCUUUUGUUUAUUUUCACUUUAGCUGAGAGAAUAUACAAAGAUGAUAUAUUGUCACUUGCCUUCAGGCUGGAAUUAUUUUUCCUGAUAUUUAGAUCUAGGUACCAAUUAAGUGAAAAGAAAUCUGUCUUAAGUAAGAAGUUUACAGCUAGUAUAUGUGUCUUGCAACUGUUUAAUCUUGUCAUGCUAGGUUCUUUACUUUGCAUCCAGGUAAUUCAUAUGAAUGAUAGGUUAUUAAAUUCUUUUCAUAGAAAACAGGCAUACUUUAAGUUAAUAACUGAUACCAGUUAGCAAAAGAGAAAUGAAUUCCCAGGAUUUUUGUUUCUUAAUAGCUCUUUCAAGAUUGUUUUGUAAUUCUUGAGGAGGGUGUAUGAAGUUUGGCCCAGGUCACAUAUCUGGCAUAGAAUAAAUUUAUUUAUUAAUUCAACAGUAUUAAAUAUCUGAUUCCAUUCAUUCAUGUGUCCUGUACAUCAUUUUAAAGAUUGAUUUAAAGAUUUUUCUUAUUUCUUUAGAGACCUUAUUUGGUGUUAAGAAUUUACCGUACGGAAAGCUAUGACUUUUCCCCUCACCCCCAUUUAACUCUGUCCGAGUACAAUUCAGCGUGAACGCAAGAAUGAAGCCGUAUUUGCUCAGACACUACGUGGAAUGGCUGGUGAGGGGGAAGACACUACCUGAGCCCACAUCCCCAACUUGGGUGGUCUGUGAGCACCCUUUCUCCUCUAACAGCUUCAGAGUAUUGCAGGGAUCCUUGUUCCCUGCCACGUGGGGGCAGUCUCCCCAGAUAGUUUGCAAGGCAGAGAGCUUCCUUUAGGCUUCAGUGAAGUGUAUUCUCCCUCAUUUCUUGUCCAUUCUUGGAAUUCCCGGAGACUAGGAGAGUAGUGGAUUUUCCCUACUUGAUCCGCCAGGCAAAUUUGCUUUUGUUUGGCAUUCCCCCUGUGCAGCAUUCCCCCUGGGCCCCCAAAUGCAGAGGUGAAAAUAACCACCCACGGCUGAUGGAUCACCUUCCCCACGCCUUGUGCUGUAUGCGCUUUGGCCCUCAGCCUCUCAUUACCCCACUUCACAGACUGCAGGAGAGAAGGGACAAGAAUCAAGUUUUGAUUGCCUAGUAGAAGUUCAAUCAUGUGCCCUUAGAACAUUAUUUUACAGGCAUGUGCAGCCUUAACUAAGCAGGAUGUCCCUGUCUCCCUGGCUGCUAAGGGGCGCAUAUUGGCUUCUGUUUUUGUUGACACUGUUCAAUGAGUCUGCAUAGAGGGUAGGUCUGUUAUCUUCCUAUCAGAUAACGCAGUGUGGAGGCCUGCAUGCAGAUCCCUUUCAGGGCCUCUGGGGGUGGAACCCAGGCCAUCAGUAUUUUGAAAGUUUCCAAAUGAUUUCCACAUGCAGCCAAAUAUUCGAACCACUGGUUCAGAGCUUUGAACAAUGCAGUUGUUGGAGUUUUAUUAUAGAGUCACUGAAAAAUGUUGAAUUAUCUAUAAGAUGAAUUAAAGGUUAAAACACUUUUCCCCAUUCAUAGAUUGUGAUAGCUGUCUUCUAUACAAUUACCUAAUUUUGCCUGAUUUACU
rnacentral:lncRNA from 1 species